AUGCUUGAGGAGUAUACUGCUUUGUUACAGAACGAGACUUGGUCGUUGGUUUCUCCCCCUGCAGGUGUCAACGUGGUGACGGGGAAAUGGAUCUUUCGCCACAAGCUGAACCCCGACGGAUCCCUCGCUCGGUACAAGGCCCGGUGGGUCUUGCGCGGCUUCACUCAACAACACGGCGUCGACUUCGAGGAGACCUUCAGCCCUGUCGUCAAGCCGGCAACCAUCCGCGUCGUCCUCAGCCUCGCCGUCUCCGCCUGCUGGGCCAUCCAUCAGCUGGAUGUGAAGAAUGCUUUUCUUCACGGCCACCUCGACACCGUCGUCUACAGCCAGCAGCCGUCCGGGUUCGUCGACACUGCGCACCCGUCUCACGUGUGCCGCCUGCAUCGCUCACUCUACGGGCUUAAGCAGGCCCCCCGGGCAUGGUUUCAGCGCUUCACCACCUACCUCACGCGUCUCGGCUUCGUUGCCUCCAAGAGUGACACCUCCCUCUUCAUUCUUCACCGCGACGGCGCCACCGCUUAUCUCCUAUUAUACGUCGACGACAUUAUCCUCACUGCCAGCUCCGCCUCCCUGCUCCACCACGUCAUCUCGCAACUCCACAACGAGGUUUCCAUGACUGACCUCGGCGAGCUCCAUCAUUUCCUGGGGAUCAAUGUCACCCGCAGCUCCCGCGGCUUGUUCCUCUCGCAACACCAAUACGCUCUCGAGAUACUUGAGCGCGCCCCCAUGAGCAAUUGCAAGCCCAUCGCCACCCCCAUCGACACUCGCGCAAAACUUUCCGCCACCGACGGUGCUCCUGUCUCUGACCCGUCCCUCUACCGCUGUUUGGCCGGCACCCUCCAAUGUCUCACUCUCACCCGACCCGAUAUCACUUACGCCGUCCAACAGGUCUGCCUCUUCAUGCAUGAUCCCCGGGAGCCGCACUUCACCGUCCUCAAGCGCAUCUUGCGCUACAUCCGCGACACACCGCAGCUGGGCCUUCACCUCCGGCGCUCCUCCGACCACCACCUCGUCGCAUACUCUGACGCCGACUGGGCGGGUUGUCCUGACACCCGCAAGUCCACGUCGGGCUACUGCAUCUUCAUCGGCGACAAUCUCGUCUCUUGGUCCUCCAAGCGGCAACAGACCGUCUCCCGGUCCAGCGCGGAGGCGGAAUACAGGGCGGUGGCCAAUGCUGUGGCCGAGGCGUGCUGGCUGCGUCAACUUCUGCACGAACUGCGGCGUCCUCCGGAUCGGGCAACGAUCGUCUACUGCGACAACGUGAGCGCCAUGUACCUCUCCACCAACCCCGUGCAGCAUCAGCGCACGAAGCACAUUGAGAUCGACCUUCAUUUCGUGCGUGAGCGGGUUGCUUUCGGCGAUGUACGAGUCCUUCACGUCCCGUCCGCGUCGCAGUUCGCUGAUAUCUUCACGAAGGGGCUGCCAUCGACCGUCUUCCUCGACUUCCGGUCCAGCCUCAACGUGCUCGACGACCCCGUUGUGGCUGCGGGGGGCUGUUGGAAGACUACCGUUGCUGGCUCAACUAGAGGACCGAGUCCCACGUAG
rnacentral:rRNA from 1 species